AAGUCGUAACAAGGUUUUCGUAGGUGAACCUGCGGCAGGAGCUUUGCCAAAAGGUCCCCAUGCCCCCUAAUAACCCCACAGUUUUAUGUGAAGCUCAAUGUAAUACAUUGGGUAAAAAAACCGAACAACUGUUAACAAUGGAUAUCUUGGUUCUC
rnacentral:misc_RNA from 1 species